GCACUUCCUGGUGGACGACGGCGCCGGCGGCUCGCGGGCGGCUGCGGCCCUGCGGUCGGCCGGGUUCGACGUCCGGGGGUGCGCG
rnacentral:tRNA from 1 species